ACGGACGAAGGAGUCUAACUUGUGCGCAAGUAAUUGAGUUAUUGUUAAAAGCUCAAAUGCGAAAUGAAAGUGAAAUGCUUGCCUAGUUGUAAGCUGUUGGAUGAUCCCUGGUUUAGCCCUUUAUUGGGAAGGCCUGGGCGCAAUCCAUGGGCAUCGUGAUUGCUUUAUUGCCAAUCUGGUGCACCACGAGCGCACAAGUUGGUACCCGAAAGAUGGUGAACUAUGCCUGGCAAGGGUGAAGCCAGGGGAAACUCUGGUGGAGGCCCGUUUGGAUUCUGACGUGCAAAUCGAUCUUCAAAGCUGGGUAUAGGGGCGAAAGACUAAUCGAACUAUCUAGUAGCUGGUUCCUCCUGAAGUUUCCCUCAGGAUAGCUGGUAAUCGUACAUGGUAUGACAUGUUUCAUCCGGUAAAGCGAAUGAUUAGAGUCUUUGGGGGCGAAAUGACCUCAAGCUAUUCUCAAACUUUAAAUGGGUGAGAAGCCGGGCUUACUUGAAUGAAGCCAU
rnacentral:rRNA from 1 species